rfam:Pteropus alecto contig105447, whole genome shotgun sequence.
GUGCUCGCUUUGGCAGCCCAUAUACUAAAAUUGUAACAAUACAGAGAAGAUUAGCACGGGCCCUGCAUGAAGAUGACAUGCAAAUUCAUGAUGUGUUCUAUAUUUUA